GAUCUUCAACAUCAAAAACUAAAAGCAAAAGACAGAAACAAAACCCCACGAGUCAAGUAGGUCAUUGGUGUCUGCUGCUCUUAAGCUCUUGUUCCAGCCUGUCCCAGUCUCCAGCAGGUACAACUCUCUAGAGAGAGCCACAGCUGGCCAGGACCAGACAGGACUACUCUGUGUGGUAGUCCUAAGUUAGAGGACAUUCGGGGAACUCGUUUCCACAGUUUUGUUCUUUUUAUGAAAGAGCUUUUGCUUUGCCCAGCCUUUGUUUGGGGAGUUCAGCUAAUAAAGGGGCCAUUUUGCUGGAAUGAAUUACUGAUGAAAGUCCUGCUGGGAUUGGCAGGAGGACGGCCCUCUGGCCUCUCUUCAGCAAGGCCGCCAAGACUGUAAAGUCUGCUGUGGGAUUCGCAGAGGUACAGUACCAUCAAAUGCUCCAGGAAGCUCCACUCACUUGCUUUAAGUUAAAACAGUAAAGAAGUCAAUAUUUUAGCAAAUCUAAGAUUAUGAGUUUGGCCCCUUGUGUCUUCAACGAUCCAAGGUUAAGCAAUAUUGCACCAGCUAAGCAAAAAUAAAUCAGGACACCUCAAGAAAG
rnacentral:lncRNA from 1 species